CCCAUUGAAGCUUCCAAACUGGUCUCCCACAUCCUUGCUGGACUUGGUGCUGAGUAUGAUCCUCUUGUCACAUCUGUGACUACAAGGCAAGAUUCCAUUUCUCUCAAUGAUCUCUAUGGUUAUAUGCUUUCCUAUGAGU